CAGUCGUACGCACUGGCCCACUGAUUGAUGGUGCUUGCACCUGAUUGACGUUGGAUCACCAGUGAGUGGCGGACGGGUGAGUAACACGUAGGUAACCUGCCCCGGAGCGGGGGAUAACAUUUGGAAACAGAUGCUAAUACCGCAUAACAACAAAAGCCACAUGGCUUUUGUUUGAAAGAUGGCUUUGGCUAUCACUCUGGGAUGGACCUGCGGUGCAUUAGCUAGUUGGUAAGGUAACGGCUUACCAAGGCGAUGAUGCAUAGCCGAGUUGAGAGACUGAUCGGCCACAAUGGAACUGAGACACGGUCCAUACUCCUACGGGAGGCAGCAGUAGGGAAUCUUCCACAAUGGGCGCAAGCCUGAUGGAGCAACACCGCGUGAGUGAAGAAGGGUUUCGGCUCGUAAAGCUCUGUUGUUGGAGAAGAACGUGCGUGAGAGUAACUGUUCACGUAGUGACGGUAUCCAACCAGAAAGUCACGGCUAACUACGUGCCAGCAGCCGCGGUAAUACGUAGGUGGCAAGCGUUAUCCGGAUUUAUUGGGCGUAAAGCGAGCGCAGGCGGUUGCUUAGGUCUGAUGUGAAAGCCUUCGGCUUAACCGAAGAAGUGCAUCGGAAACCGGGCGACUUGAGUGCAGAAGAGGACAGUGGAACUCCAUGUGUAGCGGUGGAAUGCGUAGAUAUAUGGAAGAACACCAGUGGCGAAGGCGGCUGUCUGGUCUGCAACUGACGCUGAGGCUCGAAAGCAUGGGUAGCGAACAGGAUUAGAUACCCUGGUAGUCCAUGCCGUANACGAUGAGUGCUAGGNGUUGGAGGGUUUCCGCCCUUCAGUGCCGGAGCUAACGCAUUA
rnacentral:rRNA from 1 species